rnacentral:rRNA from 1 species
GGCCAGCAGCCGCGGUAAAACGUAGGUGGCAAGCGUUAUCCGGAUUUACUGGGCGUAAAGCGUGUGCAGGCGGACCGUCAAGUGGUGUAUGAAAUCGCCCGGCUCAACCGGGCGGGGUUAGGCCAGACUGACGGACUGGAGUGCGGGAGAGGGGCGUGGAAUUCCGGGUGUAGUGGUGAAAUGCGUAGAGAUCCGGAGGAACCCCAGCGGCGAAGGCGGCGCCCUGGCCCGCAACUGACGCUCAGACACGACAGCAUGGGGAGCGAACGGGAUUAGAAACCCCGGUAGUCCAUGCCGUAAACGAUGCCAACUAGGCGUCGGGGGUCUCAACCCCCUCGGUGCCGGAGCUAACGCGGGAAGUUGGCCGCCUGGGGAGUACGACCGCAAGGUUAAAACUCAAAGGAAUUGACGGGGGCCCGCACA